GUGAUGAGCUGAGUUCAUUUGAUGUGACAGAGAGCAAUCAGUACUCUCAGAAAGCCAGAAAAUCAUGGCAAGCUCAAGCUCGGCUCUUAUGAGGGUACUAUGUUUCUUGAUUAGUUAGACGGACUUAGCUGAAGCUAUAGGUGCUUCCCUCCUUCAGUCAAUAAGUGAUUAUAUAUCUGACUUUGAUAUCUUUAUGAUCGCUUAUAACCGAGAGACUAAAG